rnacentral:rRNA from 1 species
CGCGUAGGCGGCUUGCCAAGUCAGUGGUGAAAUCCCGCAGCUUAACUGCGGAAGUGCCGGUGGUACUGGCGAGCUCGAGGGAGGUAGGGGUAUGUGGAACUUCUGGUGGAGCGGUGAAAUGCGUUGAUAUCAGAAGGAACGCCGGUGGCGAAAGCGACGUACUGGACCUUUUCUGACGCUGAGGCGCGAAAGCUAGGGGAGCAAACGGGAUUAGAUACCCCGGUAGUCCUAGCCCUAAACGUUGGGUACUAGGUUGUGGACUAACAUGGGUUCACAGCCGAAGCAAAAGUGUUAAGUACCCCGCCUGGGGAGUAUGGUCGCAAGGCUGAA